rnacentral:rRNA from 1 species
UACAGAGGGUGCAAGCGUUAAUCGGAUUUACUGGGCGUAAAGGGCGCGUAGGUGGUAAAGCAAGUAAGAUGUGAAAGCCCUGGGCUUAACCUGGGAAGUGCAUCUUAAACUGCUUAACUUGAGUAUGGUAGAGGGUAGUGGAAUUUCCGGUGUAGCGGUGAAAUGCGUAGAUAUUGGGAGGAACACCAGUGGCGCAAGCGGCUAUCUGGACUGACAUUGACGCUGAGGCACGAAAGCGUGGGGAUCAAACAGG